rnacentral:lncRNA from 1 species
CUCUGCUUUAAGGAUUUGAGGACCCCGUGACAUAUGGAAUUGAGUAUCCACUGACUCGACCAUUCAUAUUGAAUCUGUGCUG